rnacentral:snRNA from 1 species
GUUGGUGGCUAAAUCACCCGUU